AGCAGCCGCGGUAAUUCCAGCUCCAAUAGCGUAUAUUAAAGUUGUUGCAGUUAAAAGCUCGUAGUUGAAUUUCGGGGUCAAUACGUCGGUCGUGCCUCGGUACGCACUAACGUUAUUGAUUCCUCCCUUCUGACGAGCCGUGAUGUCAUUAAUUUGGUGUUGCGGGGAAUCAGGACUGUUACCUUGAAAAAUUAGAGUGUUUAAAGCAGGCAAUCGCUCGAAUACAUUAGCAUGGAAUAAUGAAAUAGGACGUUCGAACCUAUUUUGUUGGUUUCUAGGAUCGACGUAAUGAUUAAUAGGGAUAGUUGGGGGCAUUAGUAUUCAAUUGUCAGAGGUGAAAUUCUUGGAUUUAUUGAAG
rnacentral:rRNA from 1 species